rnacentral:SRP_RNA from 1 species
GCCGGGUGUGGUGGCGGGUGCCUGUAAUCCAAACCACUCAGGAGGCUGAGGCAGGAGAAUUGCUUGAACCUGGGAGGCAUAGGUUGUAGUGAGCUGAGAUCAUGCCACUGCACUCUAGCCUGGGCAACAGAGCAAGACUCUGUCUCAA